UAGUGUCACAGUUCUACUGGCGGCCACGGAAGAAGACAGGCACGUUUCGUUGUGACGUGUGUGGCAAGCCCUUCAGCAACAAGGCUAAUAUGCAGCGCCACAAGGUGCUCCAUGCAACCGUGCGGGAUGUCUACUUCUGUGACGUCUGCUCGCGGCCCUUUUCUUGGAAGAGUAGCCUUGAGAGACACAAGCGUGACAUGCAUGCUGCAUUGGCCAGUGGCUCUGGAGGACAACGCAAUGAAUCAACUCGUGUGCAUGGCACUUUCCCCAAUGUGAGGUGACCUCUUGGUGGCACUAACCGGUUUUGUCACACUGGCCUUGAACCACUGGCCACAUCCAUGGAGCAAGCUGCUGCUGCUGCAGGCACAGUCGAAGCCAGGCCGACAUGUGACAUCUGUGGUCGCAGUUUCUUCAACAAACAGACUCUGGAGCGCCACAUGGACAGGCAUCGACCGGUACGCCAGUCUUAUGAGUGCGAAGUGUGCCAUAAGACAUAUGCCUUUGUGACGGGACUAUACCACCACCGCAAGACGCAUGGCUCCAUUGCACGCUUCAAGUGCAACUUUUGUGGCGAGCACUUUAUGUACAGUCGUUCCCUGUACAAGCAUGUCAGUCAGUUGCAUGCAACUGUGUCCAGUGCAGCCACUCAGUAAAUAUUUUUCAACUUCUCAAUGCUGCUGGACUGGAACCUGCUUACAGCUGUGAUUUAGCAACCUUAUAGGAACUGCAAGUUGUACACAGGUGCGUGCUUUUUUAGCAGUCGUACAGCGAUAGUAGACUUAUUCUUAAAGCAUAUGGUUGCUCUUCAUGAUAGCAUCACUAUACAAGAAAAGACUGCUGUCUCCUUUUGUUGCAAGCCCUAGUUCAGAACCUUUUAUGCUUUUUCUUGCAGUUCCAUGAAUGUCUUCUUUAGAUGGCGACACAAUCGGUUUUUUAACCAUUUAAGAAUUGAAGGAUUGGUGUUGCGUUGAUAACAUAAGCCUCCAUGACAAUAACAAUUCACAUAGAGUAAUAUUUAGAGGAUUCAUGCCUCUUGCAAGAUGCAAGGAAGUACACUAGCUUAGCAUAACAGUUUUUUAAAGUUUAAAUUAUGGCUAUUCCAUUUGUCACAUUGUCUAAAGAGGGCCUAAGAUGGGCAGUUGUGGACUAAUAAAAUUUAUGCUUUCACAGCUGCAUUUCUCACCAAGUUUCACUUGGGUAAGUCCACUACAUGGUACACAAUAUAGAAACAAAUAGCUUUUCUCUUUGAUGGAAAAAUCAGUGCAGUUUCCAAACUAUCCAAUUUCAUUUUCAGUGAGUGGGUGCUUACUGAACAUCAGAUAAGUUGGCACUUUUAAAUGCCACACUUCUUCCCGAGAAAUAGCUUUGCAAAUAUAUGCCAGUGUUCAUGUUUGUAAGGACAAAGCUCACAGUCAUGCCUGUUGACUUGAUUCAGUUACGCUGUGAUUGCUUUUUCAUCUUCACACUUUUGAAUGCUUCUUCACAGCUCCAGCGGGCGUGAACAAACUACAUUCACAUGUAGUUUGUUGUUCGAGGCACUGUAGCUUGCAGGUCUAUGUCAGAGAACCAGGAGAUAUGUUGAUCACUCAUGGCAGGCUUGAACCAGAUGAUCACAGGGAGGGCCUAGUAUACAAAUUACUGUUCAUUGGUGCCUUUAUUAAGCAAUCUUGCCUUGUAUUAAAGCCUGGUUUUGUCUCUA
rnacentral:misc_RNA from 1 species